rnacentral:rRNA from 1 species
UACAGAGGGUGCGAGCGUUAAUCGGAAUUACUGGGCGUAAAGCGUGCGCAGGCGGUUAUGCAAGACAGAUGUGAAAUCCCCGGGCUCAACCUGGGAACUGCAUUUGUGACUGCAUGGCUAGAGUGCGGCAGGAGGGGGAUGGAAUUCCGCGUGUAGCAGUGAAAUGCGUAGAUAUGCGGAGGAACACCGAUGGCGAAGGCAAUCCCCUGGGCCUGCACUGACGCUCAUGCACGAAAGCGUGGGGAGCAAACAGG